UACGAAGGGAGCUAGCGUUGUUCGGAAUCACUGGGCGUAAAGCGCACGUAGGCGGAUUUGCCAGUCAGGGGUGAAAUCCCGGGGCUCAACCUCGGAACUGCCUUUGAUACAGCAAGUCUUGAGUUCGAGAGAGGUGAGUGGAAUUCCUAGUGUAGAGGUGAAAUUCGUAGAUAUUAGGAAGAACACCGGUGGCGAAGGCGGCCCACUGGCUCGACACUGACGCUGAGGUGCGAAAGCGUGGGGAGCAAACAGG
rnacentral:rRNA from 1 species